AGGACGAACGCUGGCGGCGUGCUUAACACAUGCAAGUCGAGCGGUAAGGCCUUUCGGGGUACACGAGCGGCGAACGGGUGAGUAACACGUGGGUGAUCUGCCCUGCACUUCGGGAUAAGCCUGGGAAACUGGGUCUAAUACCGGAUAUGACCUCAGGUUGCAUGACUUGGGGUGGAAAGAUUUAUCGGUGCAGGAUGGGCCCGCGGCCUAUCAGCUUGUUGGUGGGUAAUGGCCUACCAAGGCGACGACGGGUA
rnacentral:rRNA from 1 species